rnacentral:rRNA from 1 species
AGGUCCCAAGCGUUGUUCGGAUUUACUGGGCGUAAAGGGUGCGUAGGUGGCCAGGAAAGUUUGAUGUGAAAGCCCCGAGCUCAACUCGGGAAUUGCAUUGGAUACUACUUGGCUUGAGGAUCGGAGGGGAGACUGGAAUUCUCGGUGUAGCAGUGAAAUGCGUAGAUAUCGAGAGGAACACCAGUGGCGAAGGCGAGUCUCUGGACGAUUCCUGACACUGAGGCACGAAAGCUAGGGGAGCAAACAGG